UGAGAGAUCGGCGCGGGCGGGCCUCUCGCCAACCCGGUCAGGUCCGGAAGGAAGCAGCCGCAACGAGUUUUGCUCGGGUCGUCGCCGGUCUCUCACCC
rnacentral:SRP_RNA from 1 species